AUGUCCCAUUGUACCUUUGCCUUCAAGGUGAUCCUGCAAUUGGAGACGGUGUGACUCGUCAUGUUUUUGCAACAAUCAUGUCAAAACUCCAGCAUGGUUUUGAACUACAACUUGGUUAGUGACCUAUACAAUACAUGUUAUUUUUUCCCCGUUUUCUUAGGAUAACUUUAAAAGAAGUUUACAGAAAUUUGUUGGCAUUAACAGUUAACUACUUACCAUUGGCCUUAGGGUUGAUAUUUUAAAAGGUUUCUGCAUUUGUCUUUUGUAAUGCAUGUGUAGCGAAUCAGCUCAUGGGGAAAUAUGAAUAAUUAAUAAUAACUAGGAACUCUUCUUUUUGAGGGUGAAAAGGAUCACUUGAUUCCCUCAACAUCACAGAGUUUUCUGGAUAGUGACUUCUUUGUGGUGGCAGGCCGUAUGAUCGGGCACUCAUUCCUGCAUGGUGGUCCAUGCUUAACUGGUUUAAGCCCAGCAAUAAUCCACAUGCUUUUUGGCGGAUCCCCUGAAACAGCCACCAUAGAUAUACUGGACUGUGUGGACACUGAUGUCCGUCAAGUAAUAGAGAUGUUGAAAGGCACAGGUGAAUUAUCAGAGGAAGAAAAGAGGGCUAUUUCAGACCUUGCAGUGUCCUGGGAUUUGCCUGGUGUGACAUCAGAGAACAGAAGAUGGCUGCUUGACAAACUGCUCAUUCAUGCAAUGAUUUUAGAGAGGAUAAUUUGGCCAACACAUGAUGAAGACAGCGAGGCCUCUCUUGAAGACACAUGUAGGCUCACCGGAUUCCUUCGCACCUUCAUCGGAAAUUCUUCUUAUAAUAUCUUGCGGUUUCUAAUAAAAUUCUGGACUAGAUGGGAUGUACUGCCCAGGAGCCUAGACGUUGAGGUGGUGGAUGGAAACCUACCCAAGUCUUCCACAUGCUAUCAAACUCUCAAGCUUCCUAGUCAUUACAAGGACUAUGCUGCCUUUGAGAGAUAUAUUUUAGCUGCUAUCUGGAGCUUAGAUUAUGGAUUUGGAAUGGUCUAAGUUUGUGUUACAAAUAAUAUCAGAUGCCAUAUUUCUACUGGAGGUAGUGUUUAAUUUUUCUAAAUUUUUCAUGUCUAAAUCGGAUAUUCAGUCAGAAGAUCUCAAACCUGUUUGGUAUGUUGCAGUGUUCAGAGCUUUGUAUUCGAUGCCAAAAUAACAUUUGAUAAGAAAUUUAAGAAUUUAUUUGCUUGGAUGUACUAAAAAGAUACUGUUCUAGACAUUUUAGCUUUAUUAAAUGGUUUGGAAGUAGUUUGAGCAACUAAGAAUAUUCACUGGAUGCAAGAGUUAUUAUUAACUGGCACUAAAUGUCAAAAUGCCCCACUUUUUUCUUCCUGGAAAGCCAGCCUGUGAAUUUUGUAAGCAAUUUUGACAUGUAUUCAGAACCUUGUUGUCAAAGUUACACCAAACUAAGCUUUGGUCAAAAGGUUAUUUGAAACAUUUAUUGACUUUGGUACAAGACUGUUCAAAGCCAUCAUUACACAAAUUCAAUAA
rnacentral:lncRNA from 1 species